rnacentral:rRNA from 1 species
GCAGCAGUAGGGAAUCUUCCGCAAUGGACGAAAGUCUGACGGAGCAACGCCGCGUGAGUGAUGAAGGUUUUCGGAUCGUAAAGCUCUGUUGUUAGGGAAGAACAAGUGCGAGAGUAACUGCUCGCACCUUGACGGUACCUAACCAGAAAGCCACGGCUAACUACGUGCCAGCAGCCGCGGUAAUACGUAGGUGGCAAGCGUUGUCCGGAAUUAUUGGGCGUAAAGGGCUCGCAGGCGGUUUCUUAAGUCUGAUGUGAAAGCCCCCGGCUCAACCGGGGAGGGUCAUUGGAAACUGGGAAACUUGAGUGCAGAAGAGGAGAGUGGAAUUCCACGUGUAGCGGUGAAAUGCGUAGAGAUGUGGAGGAACACCAGUGGCGAAGGCGACUCUCUGGUCUGUAACUGACGCUGAGGAGCGAAAGCGUGGGGAGCGAACAGGAUUAGAUACCCUGGUAGUCCACGCCGUAAACGAUGAGUGCUAAGUGUUAGGGGGUUUCCGCCCCUUAGUGCUGCAGCUAACGCAUUAAGCACUCCGCCUGGGGAGUACGGUCGCAAGACUGAAACUCAAAGGAAUUGACGGGGGCCCGCACAAGCGGUGGAGCAUGUGGUUUAAUUCGAAGCAACGCGAAGAACCUUACCAGGUCUUGACAUCCUCUGACAACCCUAGAGAUAGGGCUUUCCCUUCGGGGACAGAGUGACAGGUGGUGCAUGGUGUCGUCAGCUCGGUCCGAGA